rnacentral:rRNA from 1 species
UACAGAGGUCUCAACCGUUGUUCGGAUUCAUUGGGCGUAAAGGGUGCGUAGGCGGCGGGUAAGUCAGGUGUGAAAUCUCGGGGCUCAACCCCGAAACUGCACUUGAUACUGCCUCGCUUGAGUACUGGAGAGGAGACUGGAAUUUACGGUGUAGCAGUGAAAUGCGUAGAUAUCGUAAGGAAGACCAGUGGCGAAGGCGAGUCUCUGGACAGUUACUGACGCUGAGGAGCGAAAGCGUGGGGAGCGAACAGG